rfam:Rous sacroma virus mutant PrB-(HM) proviral DNA env-LTR(T3R) (HM = highly mutated)
UGUAACGGGGCAAGGCUUGACCGAGGGGACUAUAACAUGUAUAGGCGUCAAGCGGGGCUUCGGUUGUACGCGGAUAGGAAUCCCCUCAGG